GACGAACGCUGGCGGCGUGCCUAAUACAUGCAAGUCGAACGCAGUGGGGACGGGUGAGUAACACGUGGGUAACCUCCCAUCAGAGGGGAUAACACUUGGAAACAGGUGCUAUACCCAUACUGAGGGAUGGACCGGCGGUGCAUUGGCUAGUGGGGGGGGUACCGGCUCACCAAGGCCACGAUGCAUAGCCGACCUGAGAGUGUGAUCGGCAACACUGGGACUGAGACACGGCCCAGACUCCUACGGGAGGCAGCAGUAGGGAAUCUUCGGCAAUGGACGAAAGUCUGACCGAGCAACGCAGCGUGAGUGAAGAAGGUUUUCGGAUCGUAAAACUCUGUUGUUAGAGAAGCGGUAUCUAACCAGAAAGCCACGGCUAACUACGUGCCAGCAGCCGCGGUAAUUC
rnacentral:rRNA from 1 species